rnacentral:pre_miRNA from 1 species
ACAUACUUCUCCACAGACCAUAGUGACAAUUGAUUUAUGGAAUGUAAAGAAGUAUGUGG